ensembl:misc_RNA Metazoa_SRP Metazoan signal recognition particle RNA
GCUGGGUGUGGUGGUGCAUGCCUGUAAUCCCAGCUACUCGGGAGGCUGAGGCAGGAGAAUCACUUGAGCCUGGGAGACGGGGGUUGCAGUGUCCAAAAUCUUGCUACUGCCCUCCAGCCUGGGUGACAGAGUGAGACUCUGUCUCAA